rnacentral:pre_miRNA from 1 species
UUUAAGUAUAGUUAUGGAUUUUCGUGUCAAAUGUUUGAUCGUCUGUUUUAUUAAAAACAAUUAAUAUUAAUAUUUUUUUUAUUGUUAGAUGAUAAAACAAUGAAUAAUUUCUUAUGCGUGACUUUUUUUUAUUUUAUUUAUAAAUUAUUUAAGUUAGACCGACGGUUAAACGUUGGGACGAGUAUUAUAUACUCCAUGUAUA